AAACAACGCUAUCUGUAAGGCUCUUUCAGAAUCUAGAGAUUAAUUCUCUGACCCUGCAUACUUGAAUUCAGAGAAGAGUAGAAUUUCAUGACAAAUGCUAACUUAAAUGCCAGUUUCUAGAGGACACCAUGUAAGGAAGCUCAUGCUUUAGUGUAUGGGAUGUUUGGCUAGCUCUCUGACUUUCUAAACAAAUGGAAUAUCUGAGAAACUGCAUCAAAUGAUAACUGCUAUGCGUGACCUCCCCGUCUCUGCCCUGCUCCUACUCAUGACUAAUUCCAACCUAUCCCAACUUUCUGUCCUGAUGUUUUUCCUGCAUUUGCACCUUCUUUAUGUAGGAGGAGAAGUAAGAUUCUGUUGUGUGAUUAUCUAAGAAAGAAGAAUCCUCAUAGUAAAAGAAUAGUUUCCCCAGUUUUUUUUGACAGAUACUAACAUUGCAUUAACUAGCCAAGAAAGAAGAGGGAUCUUCCUAUAUAUUUUCAGGUUCAUAUAGCACACAUAGCUACAAAUUUUAUCAGAUUAUUUACACAUCUGAGCAUGGCAUUCAAGGAGAAAAAUGGAGGGGGGAGGAUAGAACUACAGCAUUUAAUAAGGCUUUUUUUUCCUCAUUCAAUGAUGAUGAAACAGAAAAUAUAUACCAACUGAAUCCAUGAAAAGAUACUGCAAAACAAAGAGAAAUAUAAACAAUUAAAUAUCUCUAGAAUUUGAAAUAUAGUUACUGGAUAGUCUUAUUCAUAGACUAAUUCCUCAGUACCUGCUCAAUUCCCAAAUAUGACCUAUGGUCCUGGAUGGUUUGGCCCUUCACUACCUCUUUAAUAUCAUAUUGUAUCAUGAUCCCACUGGCUUUUGACAGCAGAGAGUCAGGAAACUGAAAUAUCAGAUGCAUUCACACCCUAGAAUGUGUGCAGGAUCCCAACAGAAGAUGAUUUCCAUUGAAGACCACCUCCAAAGACAAAAUUACGCAGCAGAUAAAAAACCUAGUUCCAUGUGACACAGUCACAAAUGUGUGACUAUAGAGGAAAAGUUAACCUGAAAAGAAACUAUAUUUUUAUGUAUAUUAGAAAGGCAAUUUGUCAAAAUAUACUAAAAGUCAAUAAA
rnacentral:lncRNA from 10 species